GAUGAAGAACGUAGCGAAAUGCGAUAAGUAGUGUGAAUUGCAGAAUUCAGUGAAUCAUCGAAUCUUUGAACGCACAUUGCGCCCCAUGGUAUUCCGUGGGGCAUGCCUGUUCGAGCGUCAUUUACCCCCUCAAGCUCCGCUUGGUGUUGGGCGUCUGUCCCGCUUCGCGCGCGGACUCGCCUCAAAGGUAUUGGCAGCGGUCGUGCCAGCUUCUCGCGCAGCACAUUGCGCUUCUCGAGGCACCGGUGGGCCCGCGUCCAUCAAGCUCACCCCCCCAGUUUGACCUCGGAUCAGGUAGGGAUACCCGCUGAACUUAAGCAUAUCAAUAAGCGGAGGA
rnacentral:misc_RNA from 1 species